UGGCAGAUGUCACUCGUCUAAGAGCAAGAUUAAUUGAUCCACCUCCAUUCCCAUUCUGGGUAGAGAGGUUACCAGACAGUAUUGCUGUGUCUGUGGAAGUCAGUGGUGCCUCAAUGGACUGGGAUAUGUGCAUUUUAUUUAUUUCAAUCUGGGGAAAGCUGCUCCCUUGAACAUCUUCAUAUUCUUCAUCAUAACGGUCAAAGAGGUCAGUGGCAUCUAUUCCAACACUAAUCGUUCCCUUUGGAUUAGUCCGCUGCUGCAGUCUUCUCUCUUCCCUCUCUCUCUGCAAACGCUCAAAUUCCUCUCUGAUUUCAGCUGGAGUUCUCUUCCUCUCCACAACCUCCCAUCCUUCCAUCUCCAGUCCUCUCCUC
rnacentral:lncRNA from 1 species